CACGGGGCAAGAUGGUGGCAUUGGGAUGGAGCAGUUGUGCAACAGCGGUGCGGCAGUACCAGAAAAACAGAGAGUGCCAUGGAAGAAGACUGGUGCUAAAAUACGGCUCUCCCAUCAAUACUGAAAUCUGAAACAUAGUCUUUGGUGUGUACCUGAUUUCCUUCUAAAUCGGCCAAUGAGAGCUGCUCGGGUCGUAUUCCCAGCAGAUGCACUCCAUGCUUCAGUGAGUUGGCAUGCAGCAACUGUGAGCAGGAAAUAAAACCUUUCAUUACCAACCAA